rnacentral:tRNA from 1 species
AAGGGAUUAGUUAAAGUAACAUUAGUAUGUCACGCUAAAGUUGUUGGUUGAAUCCAGCAUCCCUUG